rnacentral:lncRNA from 1 species
AGCCAAAGCCUCCCCCAUUCAUCAUGGGCACGUGAGGCUCUUGGCCUUGACCGAAGAUGUUAUUUGUUUUGUAGGUGCAAUUUUGUCCAAGAGCAAGGAGGAAGAAAUUUGCAUCCACAAUGAUGAAUUUCAAUCCACCUCUAUUUUUGUUCUUUGGGAUGAGUAUGUUUGGGUCUUGUAGGACUACGUACUUGCGUAUAUAAUAUUGAAUGUGUUUCUAACUUGUCUUGUGUAGGUUAAUUUGGAUGCAUUUUCUAACUUGUACUCUUUAUGGUCAGAAAUAAACCAAGAGGAUUACUUUGUAUCUAGAAAGUUGAAAGCUUGUUUAAGGUGAGUUUGAUUUCUUCUUAAUUGGCAAGGUGUAUUUUCUUCAUCAUUUUUUUGUUUUAUUUUAUCUAUAUAUGUUGUUUUACAUGAUAGGAAAAUAUGGAUAAAAGUUGGGUACAUUUGGAUCCUUCCACCGAU